UACGUAGGGUGCGGGCGUUAAUCGGAAUUACUGGGCGUAAAGCGUGCGCAGGCGGUUCGUUGUGUCGGCGGUGAAAGCCCCGGGCUUAACCUGGGAAUGGCCGUUGAAACUGGCGAACUGGAGUGUGGCAGAGGGGGGUGGAAUUCCGCGUGUAGCAGUGAAAUGCGUAGAGAUGCGGAGGAACACCGAUGGCGAAGGCAGCCCCCUGGGCUAACACUGACGCUCAGGCACGAAAGCGUGGGGAGCAAACAGG
rnacentral:rRNA from 1 species